ACUAUCUCUCUUCUGUGAGGACGCGGCAGAUAUGUUCAGUUCUAAAGAAGGUCCCAGGAGACAAGAGGUUCCUAAGAAGCAUAUAGCUGUGUCUGCAUUUCCACAGAGCUGCUGCCAAGAAUGCGCGUGUGCAGCUGUGUACCUGGGAAUGCUCCAGAUGCACAGAACUCUGCUUUGUAAAGAUUUAUAAGAAAUGCAUCGAAUAUGAACAUGGCAUAUACAUAUGCUUUGAGGAUUGGUCUUUCUGUUUCCUUUGGAAGACUUGAAAUAUGAGAACUAUGCACGGUGAGAGGAUGAAUUACUUUAACUGAUUUCUUUUUGAUAAAUUAACUCAGUGUUGAUUUUUAUUGUUUUGUCUUCUUAUGCAUCUGAUUUUGAAGUUUCAACAGAUCCUCUUGACUCAGUCAACUGAUUCCAUAGGAUUACAGACAGUCAUGAGCCACCACA